rnacentral:rRNA from 1 species
GCAGAACGCGAAGAACCUUACCUAGGCUUGACAUGCAUCUCUAAGCGCGUGAAAGACGCGUGACCCUUCCGGGGGAGUUUGCACAGGUGCUGCAUGGCCGUCGUCAGCUCGUGUCGUGAGAUGUUGGGUUAAGUCCCGCAACGAGCGCAACCCUUGUGAACAGUUGCCAGCACUUAAGGUGGGAACUCUGUUCAGACUGCCCAGAUCAACUGGGAGGAAGGUGGGGACGACGUCAGGUCAGUAUGGCCCUUACGCCUAGGGCUGCACACGUACUACAAUGCCCAGCACAAUGAGAACCGAGACCGCGAGGUGGAGGAAAUCUAAAAAACUGGGCCCAGUUCGGAUUGGAGGCUGCAACUCGCCUCCAUGAAGUUGGAAUCGCUAGUAAUGGCGCAUCAGCUACGGCGCCGUGAAUACGUUCCCGGGUCUUGUACACACCG